AGAGGUGAUGAACUGUCUUAGCCUGACCUUACAGAAUGAGGCAAACCCUGAUUUAGUGAGCCUGACAC